CAGCAGCCGCGGUAAUACAGAGGGAGCUAGCGUUGUUCGGAAUUACUGGGCGUAAAGCGCACGUAGGCGGUUAUUCAAGUCAGAGGUGAAAGCCCGGGGCUCAACCCCGGAACUGCCUUUGAAACUAGAUGACUGGAAUCUUGGAGAGGUCAGUGGAAUUCCGAGUGUGGAGGUGAAAUUCGUAGAUAUUCGGAAGAACACCAGUGGCGAAGGCGACUGACUGGACAAGUAUUGACGCUGAGGUGCGAAAGCGUGGGGAGCAAACAGGAUUAGAUACCCCUGUAGUCCCUGUCUCUUAUAC
rnacentral:rRNA from 1 species